CUCCCCGUUGCUGACCCCAGGUUCGAUAGCGCCAAUUAGGCGCCACCUCGCCAAGAACCAGCUUCGGUGAAGCGACGGGCGGUGUGUGCAAGGA
rnacentral:rRNA from 1 species